rnacentral:rRNA from 1 species
GACGAACCGUCCUAACGUUGUUCGGAUUCACUGGGCUUAAAGGGCGCGUAGGCGGACUGGUAAGUCCGGGGUGAAAUCUUUCGGCUCAACCGGAAAAGUGCCUUGGAAACUGCCAGUCUCGAGGGGGGUAGGGGCCUGUGGAACUUCGGGUGGAGCGGUGAAAUGCGUUGAUAUCCGAAGGAACGCCGGUGGCGAAGGCGGCAUCCUGGACCAAUUCUGACACUGAGGAGCGAAAGCCAGGGGAGCAAACGGG